CAGAAAAAUAGAGAAAGCAGAGAGCGAGCGAGCUAACUUUCCGUGCAAGAAACAAAGUUACUUAAAAUAGAAAAAAAGCAGAGGGCUAAGCUUUGUCUUCACUCCUCAUACGUCUACAAAAGCUUCUUUCUCUUCAUCUUUCUGAGUAAGUUCGCAGUUUGCUCAUCCAUCCUUACGCUAACGACGACGAUCCUUGUAUGUUAAAGCUCCUUUCUCUCUUUAUCUUUCCGAGUAAGUUCGCAGCUUGCUCUUCCAUCUUUACGCUAACGACGACGAUCCUCGUCUGCAGAAGCAUCUUUAUCCGAUCCUUUAUCUAUCCGAGUAAGAUCGCAGAUUGCUACGUCUUUCAUCCUUACGCUAACGACUAGCUAGGAUCAUACGCAAAAAGGAUCUUUAUGUGGCUUUAUUUGAUAACAUGAGUUCUUCUUCGGGUAGCAACAUCGUUGGGGAUGCAGAAGCUGUUCCUGCAGCUAAUGAUGGCGGUGGUGGCGGAGUCAACAUUCGGCUAUAUGAAGGCCACGAGACAGGGAGAUCAGUACAGUCUCGUUCAUUACCAUCAUUGUCUAAUCGACCGCCUGAACAACAAGUAAACGAUAACCACUUUGGGAGAAGAAAAUCAAAUCACAGCUUCUUGAUUUUUUUCUUUUAGUUAUCUUUUUAAUAAUUUCUUCGAUCCUCCUCUCUCUCUCUUGGGAUCAAUUAGUACUUAAAAAAAAUAAAAAUAAAUUACUACUUUUCUUUUUCUUGUCUGACGAUUACUUUGUCAAUAUGCUUAUUUAUAUUCUGGUGUGUUGUAAUACGUCAAAAAGAAGAAAUUUGUGAGUCGAUGAUGACCUCAUCCCACUUGUUUUGUACGCUAGUAUCUCUUUGUCCUCCACCCACAAUGUGUAUAAGAUGUUGUAGCAUGUAAGAUGUAGGGGACCUUCAUGUUAUUUAUCUCGGUGUUCGAAAUUGGCGUGUGAGAGAAAUAAAAAAAGUGGUUUAAAAUAAUAUUCUUCUUCUUCCCUAGAGUCGUUAAGUCACCCAAGUUUUGUUUUUGUCUCUCUCAUUGACUUGACUCAUUGUUUAAGGAAACCACAAAACCCAAAAACGAAGUCACCAUUAUCAUUACCAAAGUACCAAACUCCACCAAAUAAACAAACCAAACUCUAAACCAAAAAACC